rnacentral:rRNA from 1 species
GGCCAAGCUAAUAAGGGUGUACGAUGGAUGCCCUGGCGAAGACUGGCGAUGAAGGGCGUGGCAAGCUGCGAUAAGCCCCGGGGAGGUGCAAGCAACCUGUGACCCGGGGAUUCCCGAAUGGGGCAA